rnacentral:RNase_P_RNA from 1 species
ACAGCAACUCGUUCUGUCGCUGUUUUUUGGCAACAAAAGACAGAGGAAAGUCUGGACAACAAAGAGCACCAUACUUCCUAACGGGAAGGAUUCGUUGAAAAGCGAAUACAGAGAGUGCCACAGAAAAUAACCGCCGAAAGGUAAGGGUGAAAAUGUGAGGUAAGAGCUCACACUGCUGGUAGGUAACUAUUAGUGGGGGUAAACCUUAUGGGUUGAAAGACCAUGUAAACCGAGGCUUGAGGGCUGCUCGUCCAAUCUCGGAGGGUAGGUUGAUAUAGAUAUUUAGUGAUAAAUAUCAUAGAUAAAUGACAGAAAUUCUGCCAACGCAGAAUACAGAAUCCGGCUUAUAGAGUUGCUGUUUUU